UUUCGCUUUACGGAAGACAAGGAGAUAUUUAGAGAACCGCCAAUUGUCAGAGCUGGGCUUAUUCAAAACUCUAUAGUUCUUCCCACAACUGCUCCCUUUCUGGAUCAGAAGAGGGCUAUCCAUCAGAAAGUAAAACCAACGAUAGACACUGCAGGUGCUUCAGGAGUGAACAUCUUAUGCUUGCAGGAAGCAUGGAUGAUGCCAUUUGCCUUUUGUAAA